UCGGGACUGGGGAAAGCGGCGAACGGGUGAGUAACACGUGGGUAAUCUGCCCUCGGUUCUCGGAUAGCCCGGGGAAACCCGGAUUAAUACGGGAUAGCCUCUGGAGCUUUAGAGCUCUCGAGAAAAGGUAGCUUUGGCCUCUGACCGAGGAGGAGCCCGCGGUGGAUUAGCUUGUUGGUGGGGUAAUGGCUUACCAAGGCGACGAUCCAUAGCUGGUCUGAGAGGACGAUCAGCCACACUGGGACUGAGACACGGCCCAGACUCCUACGGGAGGCAGCAGUGGGGAAUCUUGCGCAAUGGGCGAAAGCCUGACGCAGCGACGCCGCGUGAGGGAAGAAGGCCUUCGGGUUGUAAACCACUUUCAGGAGGGACGAAGCCACUCGGGUUAAUAGCCCAGAGGGUGACGGUACCUCCAGAAGAAGCGCCGGCUAACUACGUGCCAGCAGCCGCGGUAAUACGUAGGGGGCAAGCGUUGUCCGGAUUUAUUGGGCGUAAAGAGCGUGUAGGCGGCCAGAUAGGUCGGUUGUGAAAACUGGAGGCUCAACCUCCAGACGUCGACCGAAACCAUUUGGCUAGAGUCCGGAAGAGGAGAGUGGAAUUCCUGGUGUAGCGGUGAAAUGCGCAGAUAUCAGGAAGAACACCCGUGGCGAAGGCGGCUCUCUGGGACGGUACUGACGCUGAGACGCGAAAGCGUGGGGAGCGAACAGGAUUAGAUACCCUGGUAGUCCACGCCGUAAACGAUGGGUGCUAGGUGUGGGGGGUGUCGACUCCCCCCGUGCCGAAGCUAACGCAUUAAGCACCCCGCCUGGGGAGUACGGCCGCAAGGCUAAAACUCAAAGGAAUUGACGGAAUCGAAUU
rnacentral:rRNA from 1 species